UUCCAAAGUGUUGAGUUCAGUUCAGGGCAGCUUCCCUGUUCUGUUAAUUAAACUUUGGAACAUUGAAAGGGGCUAGGAGACACAAGUGGACAGAGAAUAUCAUUCUAUUCAUGUCUCCCCAGCCUACAACA
ensembl:snoRNA